UGUAUACCUCUGCUAUCCCAAAAAUUAUGAAACAUUACGAACAUUAGGGAAAUUUGCAUAUUAAUCAACAGCAAAAAGAAUCAACUCAAAAUAUUUUUCUGGAUAGGAAUUAAAAAUACUUUCGUGAGCACAAAGUUUCUGUCUUUUUCAGCAUGAUUAAACAACUAUCACCAAAACUAAUCAUAAAGGUUCUACUUGGCACAAACACUAACUAAAACAUAAAAAAACACAAUUAUAACAGAAUCAUUAUGGUAUGGACUCAA
rnacentral:lncRNA from 1 species